AGCGUACACGGUGGAUGCCCUGGCAGUCAGAGGCGAUGAAGGACGUGCUAAUCUGCGAUAAGCGUCGGUAAGGUGAUAUGAACCGUUAUAACCGGCGAUUUCCGAAUGGGGAAACCCAGUGUGAUUCGUCACACUAUCAUUAACUGAAUCCAUAGGUUAAUGAGGCGAACCGGGGGAACUGAAACAUCUAAGUACCCCGAGGAAAAGAAAUCAACCGAGAUUCCCCCAGUAGCGGCGAGCGAACGGGGAGGAGCCCAGAGCCUGAAUCAGUGUGUGUGUUAGUGGAAGCGUCUGGAAAGGCGCGCGAUACAGGGUGACAGCCCCGUACACAAAAAUGCACAUGCUGUGAGCUCGAUGAGUAGGGCGGGACACGUGGUAUCCUGUCUGAAUAUGGGGGGACCAUCCUCCAAGGCUAAAUACUCCUGACUGACCGAUAGUGAACCAGUACCGUGAGGGAAAGGCGAAAAGAACCCCGGCGAGGGGAGUGAAAAAGAACCUGAAACCGUGUACGUACAAGCAGUGGGAGCCUCUUUAUGGGGUGACUGCGUACCUUUUGUAUAAUGGGUCAGCGACUUAUAUUCUGUAGCAAGGUUAACCGAAUAGGGGAGCCGAAGGGAAACCGAGUCUUAACUGGGCGUUAAGUUGCAGGGUAUAGACCCGAAACCCGGUGAUCUAGCCAUGGGCAGGUUGAAGGUUGGGUAACACUAACUGGAGGACCGAACCGACUAAUGUUGAAAAAUUAGCGGAUGACUUGUGGCUGGGGGUGAAAGGCCAAUCAAACCGGGAGAUAGCUGGUUCUCCCCGAAAGCUAUUUAGGUAGCGCCUCGUGAAUUCAUCUCCGGGGGUAGAGCACUGUUUCGGCAAGGGGGUCAUCCCGACUUACCAACCCGAUGCAAACUGCGAAUACCGGAGAAUGUUAUCACGGGAGACACACGGCGGGUGCUAACGUCCGUCGUGAAGAGGGAAACAACCCAGACCGCCAGCUAAGGUCCCAAAGUCAUGGUUAAGUGGGAAACGAUGUGGGAAGGCCCAGACAGCCAGGAUGUUGGCUUAGAAGCAGCCAUCAUUUAAAGAAAGCGUAAUAGCUCACUGGUCGAGUCGGCCUGCGCGGAAGAUGUAACGGGGCUAAACCAUGCACCGAAGCUGCGGCAGCGACGCUUAUGCGUUGUUGGGUAGGGGAGCGUUCUGUAAGCCUGCGAAGGUGUGCUGUGAGGCAUGCUGGAGGUAUCAGAAGUGCGAAUGCUGACAUAAGUAACGAUAAAGCGGGUGAAAAGCCCGCUCGCCGGAAGACCAAGGGUUCCUGUCCAACGUUAAUCGGGGCAGGGUGAGUCGACCCCUAAGGCGAGGCCGAAAGGCGUAGUCGAUGGGAAACAGGUUAAUAUUCCUGUACUUGGUGUUACUGCGAAGGGGGGACGGAGAAGGCUAUGUUGGCCGGGCGACGGUUGUCCCGGUUUAAGCGUGUAGGCUGGUUUUCCAGGCAAAUCCGGAAAAUCAAGGCUGAGGCGUGAUGACGAGGCACUACGGUGCUGAAGCAACAAAUGCCCUGCUUCCAGGAAAAGCCUCUAAGCAUCAGGUAACAUCAAAUCGUACCCCAAACCGACACAGGUGGUCAGGUAGAGAAUACCAAGGCGCUUGAGAGAACUCGGGUGAAGGAACUAGGCAAAAUGGUGCCGUAACUUCGGGAGAAGGCACGCUGAUAUGUAGGUGAAGUCCCUCGCGGAUGGAGCUGAAAUCAGUCGAAGAUACCAGCUGGCUGCAACUGUUUAUUAAAAACACAGCACUGUGCAAACACGAAAGUGGACGUAUACGGUGUGACGCCUGCCCGGUGCCGGAAGGUUAAUUGAUGGGGUUAGCGCAAACGCGAAGCUCUUGAUCGAAGCCCCGGUAAACGGCGGCCGUAACUAUAACGGUCCUAAGGUAGCGAAAUUCCUUGUCGGGUAAGUUCCGACCUGCACGAAUGGCGUAAUGAUGGCCAGGCUGUCUCCACCCGAGACUCAGUGAAAUUGAACUCGCUGUGAAGAUGCAGUGUACCCGCGGCAAGACGGAAAGACCCCGUGAACCUUUACUAUAGCUUGACACUGAACAUUGAGCCUUGAUGUGUAGGAUAGGUGGGAGGCUUUGAAGUGUGGACGCCAGUCUGCAUGGAGCCGACCUUGAAAUACCACCCUUUAAUGUUUGAUGUUCUAACGUUGGCCCCUAAUCGGGGUUGCGGACAGUGUCUGGUGGGUAGUUUGACUGGGGCGGUCUCCUCCUAAAGAGUAACGGAGGAGCACGAAGGUUGGCUAAUCCUGGUCGGACAUCAGGAGGUUAGUGCAAUGGCAUAAGCCAGCUUGACUGCGAGCGUGACGGCGCGAGCAGGUGCGAAAGCAGGUCAUAGUGAUCCGGUGGUUCUGAAUGGAAGGGCCAUCGCUCAACGGAUAAAAGGUACUCCGGGGAUAACAGGCUGAUACCGCCCAAGAGUUCAUAUCGACGGCGGUGUUUGGCACCUCGAUGUCGGCUCAUCACAUCCUGGGGCUGAAGUAGGUCCCAAGGGUAUGGCUGUUCGCCAUUUAAAGUGGUACGCGAGCUGGGUUUAGAACGUCGUGAGACAGUUCGGUCCCUAUCUGCCGUGGGCGCUGGAGAACUGAGGGGGGCUGCUCCUAGUACGAGAGGACCGGAGUGGACGCAUCACUGGUGUUCGGGUUGUCAUGCCAAUGGCACUGCCCGGUAGCUAAAUGCGGAAGAGAUAAGUGCUGAAAGCAUCUAAGCACGAAACUUGCCCCGAGAUGAGUUCU
rnacentral:rRNA from 1 species